rnacentral:misc_RNA from 1 species
AAGAACCUGGGCAACACUACUGGGUAAGUUUUUCUCAUCCAUUUUUAGGGUUGCACAGUUAUUUCAUUCACUCCAUUCGUAAUCUUUAGCAUUUUUCCUUUCAGAAUUGAUUUUAAUACCGUGAAUUAAAAAAUGCGUGAUUUAAUUGAGCUAUCUAAAAUGUUUUCAUAAUUGAAAGCAUUCUAAAUUUCCUUCUUGACUAUUGUUAAAAGUAGGCAUGCCAAAACUUGGAAUUUAAAUUUAUUUUACUUGGAAUUAUAUGCUUGCUUGGUGACCAAAAAACUUGGUCAACACUAAAAAAGUAGAAAUUCAAUGCUAUACUUGUGUUGGUUACUGAGUUAACAUUUUUUCUUAUUUUCAUUAAUUUGACAUUGUCUAAUAAAGUGUCAUUUCAUGCCUCAUCAUUAAUAUUUUCCCUUUUAGAGUUGAUUUUAAUACAUUGAAUAAAAAAAUUGCAUGAUUUAGUUAUGCCAUCUAAAAUGUUUUCACAAUUGAAACAAUUUUAAAUGUCCUACUUGACUAUUAUUAAAAGUAUGCUUGCCAAAAUAAGAUCAUAUCAUUUAAGCUCUGAGACUUGUUGCGCAAUUGUCUGCUAUUUCAAUCGGUUUAUUUUUCAGUUAUUUUAUGCUUUAAGAAGUAUGCUCUUAUCAAAUACAUUAUAUAUGAAUUCUCUUUGGGUACAUUAAAAAAGUCGGCUAACUCAACACUAUACUUACAUUGAUUACUGAGUUUCCAAUUUUGUUUACCUUUUUUUUUUAUUAAUUUGACAUUGUUCAAUAUUAAGUAUCAUGUAUGCCUCAUAUUAUUUUAAGAAUUUCAUAUCUAUAAACACAAAUAACAAACAACAUAAAUGAUAUUAAUCUCAUCUAACGCCUCAAGAAAAACAUGCAUACUUGGAUGUAGACAAAAAGCAAAUUAAAGAGCACUUCUAUUGUCUUAAUCUGCCAGAAAAUAGAGCAUUUUACCUUUGGAAAUAGUCUUGAUACAUUGAAUAGAAAAAGCACGAUUUAAUUAAAACAUGAACAAUAGCAAUAUUUAUUAAUAGUAAGGAAUUAUUCUAACAGCAGACGAUGUCUGUGUAUUUAGCUUUUGAAAUAGUAUUUCUAUGCAAUUUUUGUGCUACCUCUCCUUCAAAUUUUCUUCUUCCUCUACCUUUCCUAUCUUAUAAACUAUAGUAUUUAUGCUCGCCCCUCGCCUUCGUCAAUCGGACCUCAUCAUGUCCAGCUUUCUUAACAGAAGCUCCGUUUCCGAGAAUAGUCUUGGUUUGCUCUCAAAUGCCUAGUUUGGACGGGUUCGGCCACAUGAGAUCAGUGGCGAAGUCUGAUUCUCAGGUUGGAUCCUUCGGUGCUUCCUUGUCGUCCGUGAUUGAUUUCCUUAAAUUGUGCCAUCGGUUGAAGGUAUAGUGUGAAAAUGCUUGUUUUGAUUUUCUUUGGUUUUACCAAAAUAGAGAAGGAAAGUGUCGAGCAUUUGUUAGCUAUCAAAUGACUUCUUAGAAGCGCCAUUUGAUAAUGGAAAUUUUCCUUUAUGCUAGUUUUGCGAGUACAAAUUAAGUGCUCUUUUAUGAGAUAACUUCUUUUGCUAGAUAAUUUGGCCUAAAAUUGAAAGAUGUUAAGAAAAUGGCUGAGAGUUUCUUAAAAAAAAAAAAAAAUUCAAAUCACAUGAAAGCAAUCCGAUGAAGAUUGUAGUUUCGCAGUAGUUUCUGAAACUGGGUGUACCAACGCCCAGUAACCUUAGGAAGCUAUGUGGAUAACCAAGAAAUUGGGUGAUUUUGUCUUUUAAUAAUGCUUGCUCAAACAAGUUCAUUGUUAGAUUGGAUUCGAUUGCAUUACCGAAGGUUGAUACUGGUUGGUGAGAGUUAUGACAAAAGUCAUUGUAUAGUAGGACUAGGAAUGGGAAUUAAGCCUUCAUUCGCAUCUUUGGAUGUAUAGUAACCCGGAAUUCAAAAUACUUUUUAAUAAUAAAUUUCGUUCUUCAUAGAACAGGACAGGACUUCAGGAGAACUUAAAAAUGCUCUUCACGAGGCUUUUCUCUUUAUUUAGAUCAUGAGUUAAUUGCUGGCGUGUUUUUGGGAUAAUUGUUCUUUUAUCCUUUUGUCUUUGCCAUUCUCUUUGAUGAACUGCUAUUCUAGCUGCCUAGAUCUAUGAUUAUUAUUUAGGUAGGCCUAAUUGCAUUUCCUGUGAAAUAGCAUCUAAAAGAUUUCUAAUCUCUCUCUUUCUCUCUCCCCCCUUCCCAUUCCUACCUUGCACCCCAAAAUAAAAGGACUACAAAAUGGAGAGGAUGGAUCAACCAUGGGAUAAAAGGUCCAGAAUC